CGAUUCGUCAUCAAUCACGCCAUCCUGGCUAGUACAACCGGCACUUUGUACCUACCAAAUCCUGACAAAAACUUCCGGCUGUACUAGCCAGGAUGGCGUGGCCUGACGUGAGCGAGUUAAAAUUUUCGUGGACGUCAAACAAUAAGGGAAACGACUAGAGUUACUUUUAUUUUUUUAUUUUAACAAUUUUAUUGAGAAUUCUACAACGUUUUAAACACAACAGUUCUAUGUAGAAAUAAGUAGAAUACUCAAAUGGACAAUAUCAAGCACGAACGAGACAUAAAGUCCCAUGCAAGGUGCUUACCAUUCUAAAACUAUACAAAACAAUAAAAUAGUACAAAAUACAAUACAAAACAGCACAAACAUGAAACACAGUUAUUAGCCGUUUUCACAUCAGAAGACGGACAAGUCGUCCAGACGAACAAACCGUCCCAAAAUCGUCUUUUAGUCGGACAAUCAUCAGAUGUGAAAACGUGUCGGACAAAAUUUUAGACGAACAAGUCGUCUGAAUUGUUCGACUACUUGACUGUCUGUGAAGACGACCCUGGAGACGACCCGUUCGCCCAGACGACCCGUCCGCCUCUAAUGUGAAUAGGGCUAUUUACUUAGUUCUAUGACAUGGACAGUCACGCACUAAUGACCAUGUACAUGGCAUUUCUAUGUCGAACAUUGUUCCGAGCAAGUGUUCAUAUGUGCUUCUAAUGUUUCUUUUAAACGAGGAGAGGGUGGCGAAGGUGGUAGGAGGUAGAAUUUUACAGGUAUAGUUCCAUAUUUUAACUAGUCGGUUGAAAUAGGAUCCUUUGAAUGUGUUGGAUUUACAGAGGGGGACUUUAAGGGUGAGGGAGGGAUUUUGACAGAGUCGGGUCCGAUUGUUGUUGGAAAAGGAGACAAAGGUGUUAACGUCCAAAUCUGUGUUGCCAAAGAGAGCCUUGAAGAAGAAUACCAGAUCAGAAAUCUCUCUUUCAUAGCAGAGGGGGAGCAGGCUGAGAUUC